AAGUCGGCAAAACGAUCCGCAACCUUGGGAUAAGGAUUGGCUCUGAGGACUGAGUCGGUCGGGCUGGGGACCUGAAGCAGGAACGGCACUGUACGGAGACUGGGCGGGGCUCGCCGUUCACGCGGCGCGGCCAAGCCCGAACCAGCGUCGGGAUUUUUCUGUGGAAAGCCUCAGCUGCGCGGCGUCUGAGGGCUUCGUGCCCAAAGUGCUAUGCUUCGGCCGGCAAAAAACAGUCAACUCAGAACUGGCACGGACCGGGGGAAUCCGACUGUCUAAUUAAAACAAAGCAUUGCGAUGGCCGCUGGUCGGUGUUGGCGCAAUGUGAUUUCUGCCCAGUGCUCUGAAUGUCAACAUGAAGAGAUUCAUCAAAGCGCGGGUAAACGGCGAGAGUAACUAUGACUCUCUUGUCAUAGUUACUCCCGCCAUCAAAGGUGCCAUCAAAGGACAGGAAGGUGAAGG
rnacentral:rRNA from 1 species